CCAGUUGUUCACAAGAAACCAAUGGUCACUCUUCAAUAAGGAAAUCGGAUUUGUUUUGGAAGCUACACUGCCUGUUGUCAAAGGAUUAAGUCACAAGGUGCCCUGUUUGUGUUUAUCAGGAAUACACCACUGUAUUUUUCAGCUUUCUGCAGAGCCCUGAUCAGCAAAACAUCAAUUUCCUUUUUCGUUGAAGUCCAUAUCAAUACUACCAUGAUCCUGGAGAAGACCCUGGGAGCAUUUGUCAGAUCAAGUGUGUCUGGAAAGAGCCAGGGUUGUAAAUCUACUUUUCCAGUGAUUCCAUGAAUAACCUCAGCC